AUUAUACCGUGAAACUGCGAAUGGCUCAUUAAAUCAGUUAUCGUUUAUUUGAUAGUACCUUACUACUUGGAUAACCGUGGUAAUUCUAGAGCUAAUACAUGCUGAAAACCCCAACUUCGGGAGGGGUGUAUUUAUUAGAUAAAAAACCAACGCCCUUCGGGGCUUCUUGGUGAUUCAUGAUAACUUCACGGAUCGCAUGGCCUUGCGCCGGCGACGGUUCAUUCAAAUUUCUGCCCUAUCAACUUUCGAUGGUAAGGUAUUGGCUUACCAUGGUUUCAACGGGUAACGGGGAAUUAGGGUUCGAUUCCGGAGAGGGAGCCUGAGAAACGGCUACCACAUCCAAGGAAGGCAGCAGGCGCGCAAAUUACCCAAUCCCGACACGGGGAGGUAGUGACAAUAAAUACUGAUACAGGGCUCUUUUGGGUCUUGUAAUUGGAAUGAGUACAAUUUAAACCUCUUAACGAGGAACAAUUGGAGGGCAAGUCUGGUGCCAGCAGCCGCGGUAAUUCCAGCUCCAAUAGCGUAUAUUAAAGUUGUUGCAGUUAAAAAGCUCGUAGUUGAAACUUGGGCCUGGCUGGCAGGUCCGCCUCACCGCGUGUACUUGUCCGGCCGGGCCUUUCCUUCUGGAGAACCUCAUGCCCUUCACUGGGUGUGUUGGGGAACCAGGACUUUUACUUUGAAAAAAUUAGAGUGUUCAAAGCAGGCCUUUGCUCGAAUACGUUAGCAUGGAAUAAUAGAAUAGGACGUGCGGUCCUAUUUUGUUGGUUUCUAGGACCGCCGUAAUGAUUAAUAGGGACAGUCGGGGGCAUCAGUAUUCAAUUGUCAGAGGUGAAAUUCUUGGAUUUAUUGAAGACUAACUACUGCGAAAGCAUUUGCCAAGGAUGUUUUCAUUAAUCAGUGAACGAAAGUUAGGGGAUCGAAGACGAUCAGAUACCGUCGUAGUCUUAACCGUAAACUAUGCCGACUAGGGAUCGGGCGAUGUUCUUUUUCUGACUCGCUCGGCACCUUACGAGAAAU
rnacentral:rRNA from 1 species